ACGGUUAUAAAUCAACACAUUGAUUUAUAAGCAUGGAAAUCCCCUGAGUGAAACAACGAAUUGCUGUGUGUAGUCUUUGCCCGUC
rnacentral:antisense_RNA from 1 species